rnacentral:rRNA from 1 species
GACGAACGCUGGCGGCGUGCCUAAUACAUGCAAGUCGAGCGGACUGAAUGGGAGCUUGCUCUUGUUCGGUCAGCGGCGGACGGAUGAGUAACACGUGGGCAACCUGCCCGCAAGACCGGGAUAACUCCGGGAAACCGGAGCUAAUACCGGAUAACACCGAAGACCGCAUGGUCUUUGGUUGAAAGGCGGCGCAAGCUGCCACUUGCGGAUGGGCCCGCGGCGCAUUAGCUAGUUGGUGAGGUAACGGCUCACCAAGGCGGCGAUGCGUAGCCGGCCUGAGAGGGUGACCGGCCACACUGGGACUGAGACACGGCCCAGACUCCUACGGGAGGCAGCAGUAGGGAAUCUUCCGCAAUGGGCGAAAGCCUGACGGAGCGACGCCGCGUGAGCGAAGAAGGCCUUCGGGUCGUAAAGCUCUGUUGUGAGGGACGAAGGAGCGCCGUUUGAAGAAGGCGGCGCGGUGACGGUACCUCACGAGGAAGCCCCGGCUAACUACGUG